GAUGAAGAACGCAGCGAAAUGCGAUAAGUAAUGUGAAUUGCAGAAUUCAGUGAAUCAUCGAAUCUUUGAACGCACAUUGCGCCCCUUGGUAUUCCGAGGGGCAUGCCUGUUCGAGCGUCAUUAUAACCCCUCAAGCUCAGCUUGGUGUUGGGGCCUGCUGCACUGGCAGCCCUUAAAAUCAGUGGCGGCGCCAUCUGGCUCUAAGCGUAGUAAUUCUUCUCGCUAUGGAGUCCUGGUGGAUGCUUGCCAUCAACCCCCAAUUUUUCUAUGGUUGACCUCGGAUCAGGUAGGGAUACCCGCUGAACUUAAGCAUAUCAAUAGGCGGAGGA
rnacentral:misc_RNA from 1 species